GAACCGGGUCUUGCUGUUCCCGGGUUAGCGGUUGAUAAUACCAUCAGAGCAGGUUCGCCGCUACUUAGCUCCAGCCGCUCCAGUAGACCCGGGUCUUGCUGUUCCCGGUUUAGCGAUUGAUAAUACCAGAGCAGGUUCGCCGCUACUUAGCUUCAGCCGCUCCAGUAGAACCGGGUCUUGCUGUUCCCGGUUAAGCAUCUAAACUAACUGAUUCAUGCGGACGAACGUUCGGAAUUCAUGAAAACUAAACGUCUUGUGGCAUUUUAUGAAUACACGAAGAAAUGGAUGCAUCCAUCAUUGCCAGCAUCGCAGCAGAAUUGUUGAACUACCUAUCCCCCAAGAAAAACAAAUAGCAGCUCUGCUUCUUUCACAUGGGCGGGACUGAUGCUAAAACCUAAAAACCAUCAAACACGCCGUUAAAACGAAUAAACUGUUGCCCUAUUGCCCUAUCCAAAACCAUGAUGAGGCAGAGCUGAAAGCCCAGAGGUCAGUUUAACUGGAGAUAGAUCUCCAAAUGAAGGGAUUUUAUUCUAGAGCAGGCUAAAACGUAGUCCAAAAUUGCGGCUAUUUAACGCUGGCUGAAGAAAAUGGUCAAUAAAAUCGAGCAACUUGAUAAGGACACCGAACAGUUGUUGGAAAGAAUGUAAAAUGAGGGGAUCUGCAAUCUAAGUGGAUGAAUUGGUUUCGGCACUGGAUGUGGUUGCAGCCAAAGCAACCGAACUAAGUUGCAGACAUGCAACAGUUCAAGGGACUUCCCGGGAUACUAUGACUUCAUGAAUCCGGGACAUUACUGAGCUAUUUGCCAAGACAAAAAGGUCCCUGAAACAAUCGUCAACUACCCAUACCCGGUUUAAAGGGUGAUGCAAACCAAAUUCUGGAUCACAGCAUACUUCCCCUUACCUACUGAGUAUCCCAGCGGUUGAAAUCUUGGAAGAACCAUACACAGCGGGUGCCGAGAACCGGAACUUCGAUUCAAUUUAAUGUUAGUCAGUGUGGUACAUACUGCAUGGCUUCUGUUUUACCGGUCCAACAUAAACUAUUAGUAACCA